UUAGUCAGUAUCCACCACGCUGCCUUCUCUCAGAGCCAAGGCGUGGGAAAGGUUGUAGGGAGUUCUUUAGUUACAACUGAGUCCCACCCUUUACCUUGGGAGUGGGGAAAACUCAGCGCGGUCUGCCA
ensembl:miRNA Mir8099-1 microRNA 8099-1